rnacentral:lncRNA from 1 species
CUAGACAGUCACUUCGUGCAGGCCAUAAGGACAUGUCACAUGUGUAGUUAUGUACGCUUCAACCAUUUCACAAAUAUUUCACACCCACUAUGUGUGAGGCACAAUUUUAAGCAACAAACAAGACAGACAAGAUCCUUGCUCUCAUGGAACUUGCAUUUUAGUGGGGGCAGGGACAGACAGCACAAAAAAGAUAAUUUCAGGUAUUGAGAAGUGUUCUGAAGAUAAUAGGAUAAGGCCCUGUCAUAAAGAGAUUCUGUGGAGGGCCCGUCCCCGUGGCCUAGUGGCUAAGUUCAGCACGCUCUGUUUCAGCGGCCCGGGUUCAGUUCCUGGGUGCGGACCUGCACUGCUCUAUUAGCGGCCAUGCUGUGCUGGCAGCCCAUAUACUAAAAGAUAGAGGAAGAUUGGAAUGGAUGUUAGCUCAGGACAAAUCUUCCUCAGCCAAGAAAUAAAAAAAAGAGUAUCUGUGGAAACGACCUUAGAUAGGGUGGUCAGGGAAGGCCUCUCUGAAGAAGUGACAUCUCAACCAAGGUAGGAAUAAUAGGAAGGAACAGCCAACGCCAAGGUCCCCAGACACACAGAUCAUGCUGUGUUCUAGGAACAGAAAGAAGGCAGGAGCCUAGUGUGAAGAGAAGGGCUGGGGAGAUGAGAAAAUUGUUUGAUGAUCACAGUCUUUCUGCUUCUGAGGGUUGAAGAUCAAAGAGCCACGUCUCAGCCGCUUUUCUGCGAACAUUCUCUGUCCUAAGCUAUUUGGGAGAAGUGUGGAAGUUGGAAACAGCGAUGAAGCUCGCCCCACUACCAAGCAGGGGCUCUCAGUCCUCCAGACGUCACAUUUGCCUCCACCCCUCCUCAGUGUUGGCGAGGCCGAGGCCGGCUCUGCUCGGGCGGAAGGGGCACAGGGCCACAGCCUCCCCUCGCAGCCAGUCUUCUCACAGAAUUUGUUCACUGGACGUGAACAUUCCUGACAUUCAAAAAGUCAUAGAGAAAACAUAUUAAAACCUGCAUCCUCCAUACACAACUCAAGAAAUACAGCUCGGAGGGGCUGGCCCCGUGGCCGAGUGGUUAAGUUCGCGUGCUCAGCUGCAGGCAGCCCAGUGUUUCGUUGGUUCGAAUCCUGGGCGCAGACAUAGCACUGCUCAUCAAACCAUGCUGAGGCAGCGUCCCACAUGCCACAAC